rnacentral:rRNA from 1 species
AACGAACGCUGGCGGCAUGCCUAACACAUGCAAGUCGAACGAGACCUUCGGGUCUAGUGGCGCACGGGUGCGUAACGCGUGGGAACCUGCCCUUAGGUUCGGAAUAACUCCCCGAAAGGGGUGCUAAUACCGGAUAAUGUCUUCGGACCAAAGAUUUAUCGCCUUUGGAUGGGCCCGCGUUGGAUUAGCUAGUUGGUAGGGUAAAAGCCUACCAAGGCGACGAUCCAUAGCUGGUCGGGGAGGAUGAUCAGCCACACUGGGACUGAGACACGGCCCAGACUCCUACGGGAGGCAGCAGUGGGGAAUAUUGGACAAUGGGCGAAAGCCUGAUCCAGCAAUGCCGCGUGAGUGAUGAAGGCCUUAGGGUUGUAAAGCUCUUUUACCCGGGAUGAUAAUGACAGUACCGGGAGAAUAAGCUCCGGCUAACUCCGUG